ACUUAGACCUUGCAACACAUAACCAAUCAAAAUUACACACUUAGACCUUACAACACAUAACACAUUAUGUGUUUCGUGAAUGAGGCCCAGUAUCUUUAGGCGAAUGUAGAAAUUGCUUAUACUGCUGACACAAUUUAGAGGCAGCCCGAAACUGACAGGAUCUUUUGUCUUUUAAAAAGACAGACCAUCAAAUUAAGCAGAUUAUUUUGGAUAGCCAAAAACCCCACUUGAAUAAUUAACCACAGUGAUAGUCUACAAAUCAACUUGAGCUUUACAUGUUUUAGGACCAAAUGUACAAAUUUACAGAGUGUACGAGACUCCAGUACAAUAAAGGUGACAAGCUCAUCUGAAAUACUGCGUUUGCUUUAACAACUUUGUUGCUUCUCCUGGGGGACAUAACAACAUUUUUUAUCUUAAGUCCCAUCAGGGUAAAUCUAACCAACGUUCCAAGGUUACAGACAAAAGACUGAUGCCUUUGGCUCUGUGAUAACUGAUUUUUCUGGGAUGUUUGUUAAAUUUCAAGGAGGAAAAAAAGAGCACUUGAAUUCAAAGCACAAAGGUAAAUCAAAAAAGUUGCCUGUGGUUUGAGAACGCGUCUUUUUGAAGAGCACAACAAUCCUUCUGACGCCGCGGGAUGUGCACUUAAUGUCUGUCGCGCUCUUUUGUUUAAUCAGAACAUCCGAGGAGAAGCAGCCGUAUUCUCUGAUUAACAUUAGGCGGAUCGCGCUGGUUCCAAUGGCCGGGCGAUUCCGAGGGCUCCCAGGCACCGCUGCGGUACCGCGUGCAGACAGCCCCAUAAAAUAUUCAUGCACCUGACAAUGAGACGCGCUGCCGAUUUUCCCCACGCAUGUACUUGCUCUCACGAUCCCACAAGAAAGACGUGAGAAACGGACGGCUGAGCAACGAGAGAGACCCUUUGGCCACAAACCGCCGUUAUAAUGCACCUGACAUCGCAGUCCGCCCGGCAGCGAAGACCGCAGCUAGGUUGCUACAGGCAACCGGCUCGCUCAGGGUCCGUUUGGGAAGGAGACGCGCCCGUCUGUGGUCUUGGCUGUGCCUUUGUGUGUGCGUGGAAGAGCAGGCAGGAAGUCAACGGAGAUGUACUCAGGAAGUAAAUGGAGAUGUAUUCAGGAAGUAAAUGGAGAUGUACUCUGGAAGUGAAUGGAGAUGUACUCAGGAAGUAAACAUGGAUGUACUCAGGAAGUGAAUGGAGAUGUACUCAGGAGAUAAAUGGAGAUGUACUCAGGAAGUAGACUGAGAUGUAUUUUGGAACUAAAUGGAGAGUUCCUCAGUAGCCCCACCCAGCACAGUCAGGAGACCAUACCGGACCACGGGGCACAUCAUACAGCUAAACCCAGUGUCUUCUCAGGAUGAGCCAUCUUUUAAACUUUGAUUUCUCAUAUUAAAAGCCAACAGAUCAAACUGAGCUCACUUUCAUGCUGAGCAAUGCAGGUGGCUUUUAUGCAUAAACCUUUGAAUCUUCCUUCAAGGGCAUGCCAGCUCCCAAGAGGAAAAGAGUGCCAGCGUACUGCAGUCUAAUCCCUGAUCAGGGUCAACGUUUUGACUUCACCAGUUGACACCAAUUAAAAUUGAAACACGCCUGAUGAUCUGCUAAGAUCAUAAGUCAAGUACAUGGACUGUGCUCCAAUCAUCCAGUAGCAUACCACCGGUUUAAAUCCUUGUGAUGAAACAAAUUCACUUUCACAGAUCUAAACAAAGAAGAGCUUUGAUAUUAAAUCAGUCACAAAAUGCAAAUGUUCUGAAGUUGUGUAGAGCUGCAAGUUAACUUCACAAGUUUGGGGUGAUUUUCUGCUGGCAGUUAAAUGCUUUCUUCUUGUUCCUGACUAUGAUAAACACAUGAAUCUUUUUUUAUAGGGCUCGAAAAUGUCAAUGUUAUUCAUUUGAUGUGAAACGUAUUACCCAGACAGGAUAGAUCACAAAAAAUAAUAGUGGUAUUGCUAACCAUCAAGACAAGUGGGAUAAGUCAUAUACCACUCAGUUCUACUUGUAACAUGUUUUGAAAGUUGGGUAAUCUGAGUUUUUCCACAGCUGGUUUGAAUUUAAAAGAUCCUUUUUCUGUU